rnacentral:tRNA from 1 species
GGACAGAUGGCCGAGUGGCUGAAGGCGCACGCUUGGAAAGCGUGUAUACCGCAAGGUAUCCAGGGUUCGAAUCCCUGUCUGUCCG